ACAAUUUACUGAUGUAUCCAUUUUUUCCCCUUAGAUUGAAAUGCUGAGUCAGUACUGUUCUUUCAUAUGUCCAUGUGCUUCAGACUAGAAUUUAAUGAGAAAAUUCUAACUGGGAGAUGUUCUGUCCAGAGCCUCCACCACUUCUGUCAAUCUAAUCAUGCCUCCAGGUGGAAAAAGAUAAUGUUAGAAACGAAGAGUCCUUGAAACACCACUUCCAAAUUCCAACAAAACGCAGAAUUCUCCUUUGUUGAACAUCUUGCUUCACCAUAAACUCUAAAUCUUUUGGUGGCUUAGAAAAAGUUGGCAUGUGGCAGAGUCCUGCUACACAGAUAGAGACAUCAGAGAAUGGGCUCUUGGCCAUACUCGGCACACAUUCUGAAGACGUGGCCCCAUGCCACCGCAUCCCCUUACACUCAAUGUGCCAUUGGGCUCAAGAGCGAGGGCAGCCUGGACAUGAAAAAUAACCUGAACUUCAUGGAUGGGUUUGAUAGAUGAAGAAAAAUGCUCUACAGCUCUUCACUCCAUUCCAGCUAGUAAAUUUGUGGGUUAAGACAUAGCCUCCCCAAAGAGUGGAAGAGUUCAGGACAUCUGAAUUGUCAGUUGGAAGCAAGAAGGGUCAUGCCCCAUCUCUCUCACCUUCCUUGUUUCUUAUUGGAACGGCAGAGCCAUCUCUCAAGUCAUGGGAGCCCUACUGACAAGGAGUGGGAAAUACAAGGGAAGCAAACUCGCCGGCUGCACACACCAGCCCCAGGCUCCCUUUGAAGUCAAUGGGAGACCUACACUACCCACGAGGAUUGAGGCAGCAUUACUCUUACAUAUCCCCAGUACCCAGAAGAGAAUUUUGCUUAAUAGUGAAUAUUUACUGAGUAAUGAAUGAAUACUGCAAGAGCUUGACAUCAAGUCCUAGCUAUUUAUGGAGUAGGCUUCUUAACUAUCAUUAGAAUGUGUGGGAAAGUCACUUAAAAAGACAAAGU
rnacentral:lncRNA from 1 species